CCCCGAGGCGGGUGCCCUCAACCUGCGCGUCUGCAGGGGCGGUGCGCUCGUUCUGAUGGAUUCACUUGAGAUGCCCGAAGGUAACAAAUGAUUCUACGGGAAUUGCAAUAAAUUUGGCAGAUUGGAAGAGGAAAGGAGAGACUUCAAAAUCCAAGAAGGGAUCCAAGAAUACUUCAAAGAAAUCAAAGAAGGCUGGUGCAGCAACCACCUCUACUUCCUUAGUAGUUGAAGAACCAGCAACCACAUCUGCUUCCUUGGUCACUCAAGUACCAGUUAGUCCCGGACCAACAAGUAGGAUGGCAUCUUCUACUUCUACUCCAGCAAGACCUCUAGAUUCACCAUUGAGUCCAAGACCUACAACUAGAAGAAUGACCGUGCAAUUAGUUGAUGUACUGAAAUAAUCAUGUGUUACUCUAUUGGUAUGCUGAAACUAGAUUAGUUCUUGUUGUUUCUUUAAAACAUGAAGCAUGGGUUGUAUGCUCUUGGAUCUGUUAACAUGAAGCAUUGCAUGGGUUGUAUGUUCUUAGAUGUGUAAACAUGAAGCACCUAUUGCUAUUGCUAUUGGUUAUAUUCAGUGCAUGUGUUGCUA